UACGUAGGGUGCAAGCGUUAAUCGGAUUACUGGGCGUAAGCGUGCGCAGGCGGUUAUAUAAGACAGUUGUGAAAUCCCCGGGCUCAACCUGGGAACUGCAUCUGUGACUGUAUAGCUAGAGUACGGUAGAGGGGGAUGGAAUUCCGCGUGUAGCAGUGAAAUGCGUAGAUAUGCGGAGGAACACCGAUGGCGAAGGCAGCCUCCUGGGCCAGCACUGACGCUCAUGCACGAAAGCGUGGGAGCAAACAGG
rnacentral:rRNA from 1 species